AGUGAGAAUGCCGGAAUGAGUAGCGAGAAUUAUGUGAGAAUCAUAAUGGCCGAAAGACUGAGGUUUUAGAAGGAAGGUUCGUCCGCUUCUAGUUAGCCGGGGGCUAAGGCGAGGCCGAGAGGCGUAGUCGAUGCACAUACGGUAGAGAUUCCGUAGCCACCUUGAAUUUAAACUGAGGGACACAUUGAAAGGGUAUAUCCCGGGCGUUGGUUGACCCGGGCGUAAGGGAGCUAACAUAUCAGCGAAGUAUACUUGGACAGUGGCGAGAAAAGCUCAGUGUAUAUAAUCAGGGUGCCCGUACUGCAAACCGACACAGGUAGUCAGGAAGAGAAUUCUAAGGCCAACGGGAGAAGGAUUGUUAAGGAACUCGGCAAAUUGACCCCGUAACUUCGGAAUAAGGGGUGCUCACGAGAGUGAGCCGCAGUGAAUAGGUCCAGGCAACUGUUUAUCAAAAACACAGCUCUCUGCUAAAUCGUAAGAUGAUGUAUAGGGGGUGACACCUGCCCGGUGCUGGAAGGUUAAGAGGAGGAGUGCAAGCUCCGAAUUGAAGCCCCAGUAAACGGCGGCCGUAACUAUAACGGUCCUAAGGUAGCGAAAUUCCUUGUCGGGUAAGUUCCGACCCGCACGAAUGGUGUAAUGAUCUGGACACUGUCUCAACAAUCCACCCGGCGAAAUUGUAGUACCGGUGAAGAUGCCGGUUACCCGCGGCAAGACGGAAAGACCCCAUGGAGCUUCACUGCAACUUGAUAUUGGGUUUCGGUAUUCUAUUUACAGGAUAGGCGGGAGACAUGGAAGCAAGCACGCCAGUGUUUGUGGAGUCAACCUUGGGAUACCGCUACUAGAGUAUUGGAAUUCUAACCUGCGGCCUUGAAUCAGGUCGGGGGACAUUGUCAGGUGGGCAGUUUGACUGGGGCGGUCGCCUCCAAAAGAGUAACGGAGGCGUUCAAAGGUUCACUCAGCAUGGACGGAAACCAUGCCUUAGAGUGCAAACGCAUAAGUGAGCCUAACUGCGAGACUGACGGGUCGAGCAGUAACGAAAGUUGGAGUUAGUGAUCCGGUGGUAUGUGAGUGGAAAUGCCAUCGCUCAACGGAUAAAAGCUACCCUGGGGAUAACAGGCUGAUCUCCCCCAAG
rnacentral:rRNA from 1 species